rnacentral:rRNA from 1 species
GAUGAACGCUGACAGAAUGCUUAACACAUGCAAGUCUUUGGCGAAGCUGUGCUUGCACAGCCUAGCCAAGGCGGACGGGUGAGUAACGCGUAAGGAACUUGCCCUGCAGUCAGGGAUAACAGACGGAAACGACUGAUAAGACCUGGUAAAGUCAGGCGGACUCAUGUCCAGCCUGAUGAAAAGAGAUGCUGCAGGAGAGCCUUGCGUCCUAUUAGCUUGUUGGUGGGGUAACGGCCCACCAAGGCGAUGAUAGGUAGCCGGCCUGAGAGGGUGGACGGCCACAAGGGGACUGAGAUACGGCCCUUACUCCUACGGGAGGCAGCAGUGGGGAAUAUUGGACAAUGGGGGCAACCCUGAUCCGGCAAUUCUGUGUGCACGAUGAAGGUUUUCGGAUUGUAAAGUGCUUUCAGCAGGGAAGAAAAAAUGACGGUACCUGCAGAAGAAGCGACGGCUAAAUACGUG